rnacentral:tRNA from 1 species
AAAGAUUUAGUUUAAUUAAAACCUUAGCUUGUCAAGUUAAAAUUAUUUUAUCAAUAAGUAAUCUUUA